rnacentral:rRNA from 1 species
GAUGAACGCUGGCGGCGUGCCUAAUACAUGCAAGUCGAGCGAACAGACGAGGAGCUUGCUCCUCUGACGUUAGCGGCGGACGGGUGAGUAACACGUGGAUAACCUACCUAUAAGACUGGGAUAACUUCGGGAAACCGGAGCUAAUACCGGAUAAUAUAUUGAAUCGCAUGGUUCAAUAGUGAAAGACGGUUUUGCUGUCACUUAUAGAUGGAUCCGCGCCGCAUUAGCUAGUUGGUAAGGUAACGGCUUACCAAGGCAACGAUGCGUAGCCGACCUGAGAGGGUGAUCGGCCACACUGGAACUGAGACACGGUCCAGACUCCUACGGGAGGCAGCAGUAGGGAAUCUUCCGCAAUGGGCGAAAGCCUGACGGAGCAACGCCGCGUGAGUGAUGAAGGUCUUCGGAUCGUAAAACUCUGUUAUUAGGGAAGAACAAAUGUGUAAGUAACUAUGCACGUCUUGACGGUACCUGAUCAGAAAGCCACGGCUAACUACGUG